rnacentral:lncRNA from 1 species
UUGUUUUUCUCAGCUUUUGCUAUCAUAAAUAAUGCCGCAGUGAAGAUGUUCAUACAUAGAAAUCCUUCUCCCAAAGCAGUGUUUUGUAGGAGAAGAAACGGGAUUGGAAUCAGACUGCAUUUGAAUGCAGAUUCUCCCUUAUAAUAAUGGUGCCAUAUCAGGCUGGCAUAUUUCAUUAAAAGCGUGGGAACCCUCAGUGACCCUGGGUACUCACUUGACGUUGAGAGUUGAGCCGUGUGUUUGUUACCUUCAGGGACAAUGUGUUUGCGGUUCCUGGGGUGAGAGAAUGUGGCCUGGUCAGAGGAGAUCACCUUGCAAAGCAGGUGUUGCAGAUAGAGCAGUGAUCAAAGCAGUCUGAGCCUUUGCUUUUGUGGAGCUGACAUUUUGUUAGGGGAUUUUUCUGGGAAAAAGCAUCACCAGCCUGUGAGUAACUUGUCUCCCAGGGCCCUUCCCUGAGCACAUUCGCCCUCAUUUUUCAGAUUCAACUCAAGUGCUGUAAUCUUUAGAAAACCUUCCAUCCCUGUUCUGGGCAAAGCUAUAGUAUUUCCCUGAUUCUAAGAUGUGCACUUUCCCAUAUUUUACUGUUGCUGUUGUUUUUCAAUUGGGAAUUUAAAAUUUUGAUGUCUGAACUGUGGUGUGUUCACUUGAUGUCAUCAAGUUUCCUUUUUCUGCAAGCUGUUAAGUCAGUAGGUGCCUUAUUGUCAAGAUGUCUCUUGGUUAGGAAAAUAAGUGAGUACCUAGGGGCUGUGCUUCCAUGCGCUUUGUCUGCACAGUGACAGGCUGCUCACCUCAUUGUGUCUGGUCACAUAUCUUUCUCCCUCGCUGGACUGUGAAUUCCUCAGGGGCAACCAUGUCUAAUUCAACCAUGAUUUUUCUUCAGCUCCAAACCCGCCCCUGACACCCAGUAAACACUUGCUUCUCUUGGGGACAAAAGCAAUGCAUGACAAAAUGGAGUAAAGCUCUCCUGCUCUCCACAUGAUCAGAUCUGAACAUCAGCCCUAUUGAAAUGGAGCCCAUCCUACUCCAGUGUGACCUCACUUUAGCUUGACUGCAAUGACUGAUCUGCAAUGACCUUAUUUCCAAAUAGGAUCAUUCUGAGGUAUGGCUCUACCAUCAGGUGCCUCCGUUGUAGCAUGUGCGCUGCAUUAAAAAGCAACCUGAGCAGACAAAGGGGACUGCUGCCUUCUACAGGCACCUAGGACAGCCUCUGCCUGAGCAUUGAUGCUUCAUAAAUAUUGGUUGAAUUAACAAAUAAAUGGAGGAGGAGGAUGGCGGAAUAGGAACAGCUCCAGUCUACAGCU